rnacentral:lncRNA from 1 species
AUCUCUCCGGUGCCCGGGAGAGGGGCCGGGCGGGACGGUACAGCAACCGGAGGAACCUUGAUUCCCUGCCCCGCAAGCCCAGCACCGGUUUUGCCGCCUUGUCUCGAAGGGUCAACCAGGCCAUCUCCUGCCUCGGGACGGAGAGCGCCCUGGAAAAGGCGGAGGGGCCGACCUUAGUCACACAAGAGCGAUGGCAAGAUUUUCACCCAAGCCAUCUGACUUGGAACCCAUGGAUUAACCAACUGCCACUGGAGGCAAAUCCAGAGACCAAGGGAGCAGUUUAUACAGAAACAGAUGCCGGCAUUAACCCACAGGGAGUUAUUGUUACAGACUGAAGAAUAGAAAAAGAAAAAGCCAAAUAGAGCCUUAUUCCACCCAGCUUAGCUUCCAUAGAACAUUGUGAAUGAGAGAGUAGAUUCUUGAGAAAAUCCUGGGGUUACCCAGUUUUCAUGACUCGUUUCGUUAGACCAUCAUUUCCCAAAGUGUGUUCUUUAUAAAAAGUAGUUCUUCAGAAGGCUGGAAAGUAUUGUUUGGAAGGGGGUUCCGUGAUGAAGUCAGUUUGGAAUGCAGGCUUUACCCAGUUUUGAGAAGAUUCUUUGCAGGACUUCUCAGGGCCUUUGUGAAUCUCCAAAGAAAGAAUGUAGUGUGAAGUAUGAAAACUUUCUCCUGGCUGAUGGAACACACUUUGCAAAGCACUUCCACAGACCAAUAUGAUUUCCAGUAAGAGCUAAAUAAAUUUUGUUAGUUGUUAAGGCAUAAAACAUUAAUAUAGGAUAUUACAGUCCUAGGCUUACAUUACUUAAUUUGGAUUUUUUGCAAAAAUUAACUUUAAUGUGAAAAAUUAGGAGACAAUAUAGAGAAAAUUCAAGAGCCUCUCCAGAUAAAUUCUUAGAACUAAUGAGAAAGUUCACUAAAGUUUCUGGAUAUAAAAUGCCCAGGGCACCGGAGGGGGAAAUACUUUCUUGUAUAUUAAUAGCAAACAAUUAGAAUAAUUUUUAAAAUACCAUUUAUAAUAGUACCAAAAUCUAUGAAGUAUCUAAGAAUAAGUCUAUUAAAAUAUGGCCAAAACAUUCAUGGAGAAAACUUAUAGCCUUUAUUUAAAGACAUAAAAUAAUUCUUAAACAAAUGGAGACAUUAUUAAAUAUGUUUAUGGAUAAGAGAGACUCAAUGUAGUAAAGAUGUAAUCUUCUCCAUCUUUCACUUCCUUUGCUUCCUAAUUAAGACUUAUAUCGCUCUUGGCUGCGCACAGUGGCUCACACCUGUAAUCUCAGCACUUUGGGAGACCAAGGCUGGCAGAUCAUAUGAGGCCAGGAGUUCAAGACCAGCCUGGCCAAUAAGGCGAAACCUUAUCUCUACUAAAAAAUAAAAAAUAAUAAUAAAAAAAAAUAGCUGGAUGUAGUGGUUCAUGCCUAUAAUCCCAGCUACUUGGGAGUCUGAGGCAGGAGAAUCACUUGAACCUGGGCAGCAGAGGUUUCUGUGAACAAAGAUUGUGCCUCUACACUCCAGCCUGAGCAAGACUCCAUCUAAAAAAAAAAACAAAAAAACGUAUAUUGUUCUUCUCACCCUUCUUUCACUGUCAGAAUGUCUUCUGCCCAUCUUAGCAAG